UACGUAGGUGGCGAGCGUUGUCCGGAUUUACUGGGCGUAAAGAGCGCGCAGGCGGCUGGUCAAGUCCGAUGUGAAAGCUCCCGGCUUAACUGGGAAAUUGCAUCGGAAACUGAUCGGCUGGAAGGUGGGAGAGGGUAGCGGAAUUCCCGGUGUAGUGGUGAAAUGCGUAGAUAUCGGGAGGAACACCAGUGGCGAAAGCGGCUACCUGGCCCAUUCUUGGACGCUGAGGCGCGAAAGCUAGGGGAGCAAACGGG
rnacentral:rRNA from 1 species